rnacentral:lncRNA from 1 species
GUGCCAAACCAGGGUUCCAUGGAGCAGAUUACUUUAGGUUAUACAUGGAUUUGUAUUCUAUGGUAUUCGUCAGGUGCCAAACCAGGAUUCCAUGGAGCAGGUUACUUUAGGUUGUACAUGGAUUUGUAUUCUAUGGUAUUCAUUUGGUGCCAAACCAGGAUUCCAUGGAGCAGAUUACUUUAGGUUGUACAUGGAUUUGUAUUCUAUGGUAUUCGUAUGAUGCCAAACAAGGAUUCCAUGGAGCAGGUUACUUUAGGUUGUACAUGGAUUUGUAUUCUAUGGUAUUCGUUUGGUGCCGAAACAGGAUUCCAUGGAGCAGGUUACUUUAGGUUGUACAUGGAUUUGUAUUGUAUGGUAUUCCUUUGGUGCCGAAACAGGGUCCCAUGGAGCAGGUUACUUUAGGUUGUACACGAAUUGGUA